rnacentral:rRNA from 1 species
CCUGACUGCUAUCGGAUUGAUACUAAGCCAUGCGAGUCUUUGCAGUAAUGCAAGGCAUACGGCUCAGUAACACGUAGUCAACUUACCCUAUGGACGAGGAUAAUCUCGGGAAACUGAGCAUAAUACUCGAUAGAUCAUAAUGCCUGGAAUGGUUUAUGGUUGAAAUGAUUCGUCGCCAUAGGAUGGGACUGCGGCCUAUCAGCUUGUUGGUGAGGUAAUGGCCCACCAAGGCGAUUACAGGUACGGGCUCUGAGAGGAGAAGCCCGGAGAUGGGUACUGAGACAAGGACCCAGGCCCUAUGGGGCGCAGCAGGCGAGAAAACUUUGCAAUGUGCGAAAGCACGACAAGGUUAAUCCGAGUGAUUUCUGCUAAAGAAAUCUUUUGCAAGUCAUAAAACCACUAGUGAAUAAGGGGUGGGCAAGUUCUGGUGUCAGCCGCCGCGGUAAAACCAGCACCUCAAGUGGUCAGGAGGAUUAUUGGGCCUAAAGCAUCCGUAGCCGGCUCUGUAAGUUUUCGGUUAAAUCCAUGUGCUCAACGCAUGGGCUGCCGAAAAUACUGCAUAGCUAGGGAGUGGGAGAGGUAGACGGUACUCGGUAGGAAGGGGUAAAAUCCUUUGAUCUAUCGAUGACCACCUGUGGCGAAGGCGGUCUACCAGAACACGUUCGACGGUGAGGGAUGAAAGCUGGGGGAGCAAACCGGAUUAGAUACCCGGGUAGUCCCAGCCGUAAACGAUGCAGACUCGAUGAUGCAUUGGCAUAUAGCCAGUGCAGUGUCGCAGGGAAGCCGUUAAGUCUGCCGCCUGGGAAGUACGUACGCAAGUAUGAAACUUAAAGGAAUUGGCGGGGGAGCACCACAAGGGGUGAAGCCUGCGGUUC